rnacentral:rRNA from 1 species
CUGGCUCAGGAUGAACGCUAGCGGCAGGCCUAACACAUGCAAGUCGAGGGGUAAGGUUCAGCUUGCUGAACACACGACCGGCGCACGGGUGAGUAUCGCGUUUGCAACUUACCUCUAACUGGGACAUAGCCCGAAGAAAUUCGGAUUAAUAUCCCAUAAUAUAUUGAAGAGGCAUCUCUUUAAUAUCAAAGCUCAGGCGGUUAGAGAUGGGCAUGCGUGUCAUUAGCUUGUUGGUGAGGUAACGGCUCACCAAGGCUACGAUGACUAGGGGGUCUGAGAGGAUGAUCCCCCACACUGGUACUGAGACACGGACCAGACUCCUACGGGAGGCAGCAGUGAGGAAUAUUGGGCAAUGGACGAAAGUCUGACCCAGCCAUGCCGCGUGCAGGAUGACGGCCCUAUGGGUUGUAAACUGCUUUUAUUAGGGAAGAAUGGUUCCUACGUGUAGGGAUUUGACGGUACCUAAAGAAUAAGCAUCGGCUAACUCCGUGCCAGCGGCCGCGGUAAUACGGAGGAUGCAAGCGUUAUCCGGAUUCAUUGGGUUUAAAGGGUGCGUAGGCGGAAUAUUAAGUCAGUGGUGAAAUCCUGCAGCUUAACUGUAGAACUGCCAUUGAUACUGGUAUUCUUGAAUACAGUUGAGGUGGGCGGAAUGUGUAAUGUAGCGGUGAAAUGCUUAGAUAUUACACAGAACACCGAUUGCGAAGGCAGCUCACUAAACUAAUAUUGACGCUGAGGCACGAAAGCGUGGGGAGCGAACAGGAUUAGAUACCCUGGUAGUCCACGCUGUAAACUAUGAUCACUCGCUGUUGGCAAUACAUCGUCAGCGGCUUGAGCGAAAGCCUUAAGUGAUCCACCUGGGGAGUACG